CCUACGUGCGGCAGCAGUGAGGAAUAUUGGUCAAUGGACGCAAGUCUGAACCAGCCAUGCCGCGUGCAGGAAGACGGCUCUAUGAGUUGUAAACUGCUUUUGUACGAGGGUAAAUCCCGAUACGUGUAUCGGGUUGAAAGUAUCGUACGAAUAAGGAUCGGCUAACUCCGUGCCAGCAGGCGCGGUAAUACGGAGGAUCCGAGCGUUAUCCGGAUUCAUUGGGUUUAAAGGGUGCGUAGGUUGUUUUAUAAGUUAGCGGUGAAAUACCGAUGCUCAACAUCGGGGCUGCCGCUAAUACUGUAGGACUAGAGAUCGGAUGCAGCAGGCGGAAUGUGUAGUGGAGCGGUGAAAUGCAUAGAUAUUACACAGAACACCGAUUGCGAGGGCAGCUUGCUAGGCCGGAUCUGACACUGAUGCACGAAAGCGUGGGGAUCGAACAGGAUUAGAUACCCUUGUAGUC
rnacentral:rRNA from 1 species